rnacentral:rRNA from 1 species
GACGAACGCUGGCGGCGUGCUUAACACAUGCAAGUCGAACGGAAAGGCCCUGCUUUUGUGGGGUGCUCGAGUGGCGAACGGGUGAGUAACACGUGAGUAACCUGCCCUUGACUUUGGGAUAACUUCAGGAAACUGGGGCUAAUACCGGAUAGGAGCUCCUGCUGCAUGGUGGGGGUUGGAAAGUUUCGGCGGUUGGGGAUGGACUCGCGGCUUAUCAGCUUGUUGGUGGGGUAGUGGCUUACCAAGGCUUUGACGGGUAGCCGGCCUGAGAGGGUGACCGGCAAAAUUGGGACUGACAUACGGCCCAGACUCCUACGGGAGGCAGCAGUGGGGAAUAUUGCACAAUGGGCGGAAGCCUGAUGCAGCAACGCCGCGUGCGGGAUGACGGCCUUCGGGUUGUAGACCGCUUUCGCCUGUGACGAAGCGUGAGUGACGGUAAUGGGUAAAGAAGCACCGGCUAACUACGUG